GAGUUUGAUCCUGGCUCAGGACGAACGCUGGCGGCGUGCCUAACACAUGCAAGUCGAGCGGAGAUAAGAAGCUUGCUUCUUAUUUUAGCGGCGGACGGGUGAGUAACACGUGAGCAAUCUGCCUCAUAGUGGGGGAUAACACACCGAAAGGUGUGCUAAUACCGCAUAACAUUGCACUCUCGCAUGGGAGAGCAAUCAAAGGAGUAAUCCGCUUUGAGAUGAGCUCGCGUCUGAUUAGCUAGUUGGUGAGGUAAUGGCUCACCAAGGCGACGAUCAGUAGCCGGACUGAGAGGUCGAUCGGCCACAUUGGGACUGAGACAC
rnacentral:rRNA from 1 species